GAGGGUUUCAUAUAUUCUGGCAUUUCUGGCUCGAGGCCAAAACUUUAUUUAUACGCAUAAUAUAAAACUAUAAGAACGAUUUAUAUCAUGUGGAUUGCUAUUAUCGAAAUUUAACUCAAGAAACAGCAAAUUUUAGAAAUGGGAAUGCAAAAUUUAAUCAUUUAUAAAUAUUUUUGUUAAAAAUAUAAUAGCAAACUACUAGGUAGUAGGUACAGUAUCUUUGCGGCGCGAGAGAAAAGUCCAGAGAAAGUUGAGAAACCUAUGUCGUCUGGCACUUUUCGCCCACUAGUGAACAGGUGUACGGAAAAUCUAUUAAACAUACCUUUCUUUAUUCAACGCUUCUGCGUUUCCGUCUUGAAUAAUCGAUAAAUCGAUCACUAUACUCACCGCGUCCUACUUCGCUGAGCUUUGGUUUACUUUCGUUUUCUCGCCUUUG